UACGUAGGGUGCGAGCGUUAAUCGGAAUUACUGGGCGUAAAGUGUGCGCAGGCGGCAUAGCAAGUCGAGUGUGAAAGCCCCGGGCUUAACUUGGGAAUUGCGCUCGAAACUACUUUGCUGGAGUGUGGCAGAGGAAGGUGGAAUUCCACGUGUAGCGGUGAAAUGCGUAGAGAUGUGGAGGAACACCAAUGGCGAAGGCAGCCUCCUGGGCCAGCACUGACGCUCAUGCACGAAAGCGUGGGGAGCAAACAGG
rnacentral:rRNA from 1 species